rnacentral:rRNA from 1 species
AGUGAACGCUGGCGGUAGGCCUAACACAUGCAAGUCGAGCGGAUGAAGGGAGCUUGCUCCUGGAUUCAGCGGCGGACGGGUGAGUAAUGCCUAGGAAUCUGCCUGGUAGUGGGGGAUAACGUCCGGACACGGGCGCUAAUACCGCAUACGUCCUGAGGGAGAAAGUGGGGGAUCUUCGGACCUCCCGCUAUCAGAUGAGCCUAGGUCGGAUUAGCUAGUUGGUGGGGUAAAGGCCUACCAAGGCGACGAUCCGUAACUGGUCUGAGAGGAUGAUCAGUCACACUGGAACUGAGACACGGUCCAGACUCCUACGGGAGGCAGCAGUGGGGAAUAUUGGACAAAGGGCGAAAGCCUGAUCCAGCCAUGCCGCGUGUGUGAAGAAGGUCUUCGGAUUGUAAAGCACUUUAAGUUGGGAGGAAGGGCAGUAAGUUAAUACCUUGCUGUUUUGACGUUACCAACAGAAUAAGCACCGGCUAACUUCGUG